rnacentral:rRNA from 1 species
GUCUGUUUGAAGGUAUAAAAAGUUUAACCUGCCCACUGAUAAAUAUUAAUAUUAAAGGGCCGCGGUAUUUUGACUGUGCAAAGGUAGCAUAAUCGUUAGUUUUUUAAUUGGAAUCUUGUAUGAAUGGUUUGACAAAAGAAAAUCUGUCUUUAUAAUUAUUUAUUGAAUUUAACUUUUAAGUGAAAAGGCUUAAAUAAAUUAAAAAGACGAUAAGACCCUAUAAAGCUUAAUAUUAAAUUUUUAUUUUAUUAAAUUUUGGAUAUAAUAAAGAUUUGGUAAAUAAAUUUAUUUUGUUGGGGUGACAAUGGUAAAAUGAUUAUUAACUGUUAUUUUUUUUUAACAAAAAUAAAUGAAUAAAAAUAAUUUGUUGUGAAGGAUCCUAUAUUAAAGAUUAAAAGUUUAAGUUACUUUAGGGAUAACAGCGUUAUUUUUUUUGAGAGUUCUUAUCGAGAAAAAAGUUUGCGACCUCGAUGUUGAAUUAAAAUAUCUGUAUAAUUGUAGUAGUUAUAUUAGAAGGUC